GCGACCCCAGUCAGCGGA
rnacentral:rRNA from 1 species